GAGAGAAAGAAAUCCAGAAACAGAUUCUUGAUUUUAGAGAAAAUACCUGAUGAUUACCAGAGGGGUGAGGAUAAGAG